ensembl:lncRNA
UAAAAUGAAAAUGUGUUUAUUUACUUGACAGUUUAUUAUGAUUCAGUGCUUCCUCUGAAAUAUAAAUAGAUGGUAUGGGGUCAGAGCAACAGACUAGGGCACGAUAGUGUUAACAAACAUGGUGACUGACGCCAAUACAAUCUUUUAGUGAACAUAAAAAGACACGUACAAUAAAAAAGAUCUAUCCCAAAAAAAUAAGAAUCAAAAAAUGCAGCAAAUUAUGAAUCAAGUAUCGUAGCUAUUUUUGGGGGAUUGGGGUACAGCAGUAGUUUAGAGUCAGUAUUUUAAUCCUAGUGUUUGCUCCACUCACAAAGCCUAUAGGGAGUGGUUUUCAAAAAUAAAAUGCCAUAUUCAUUUCCAUCUUGCAUUGUAUAUCGACUUAAUAAAAAAGGUGAAUUCUCCCCACACUGCUUUGCAAAAAUGCCCCAUCUCAACAUAAAAAGCAUAGACUUCAAAAUUAUUGGAUGUUACGUUUUCUACGAUAACACAUUUUCCAAGACAAUUCUUACAAGUCCCCUUUCUUCAUUGCCAGAUGUUCCUUUGUAAGUGUCUAAAAAUAUGGACAGUUGAGGAGAACCAAGAACCAAGAUGGAGGCUUUUGACGCAGUGUUGCAAACAAAUAAAGUGCACGUGCAACACUCGGGUUGUUCAAUAGGCCCACGAAGGGUUUCUAAAAGCACUUGGACGUGAACAACAAAAGAUUCGAGAGGGAGGGCGAGAGACAAAGAAAGGGGGAAAGGGGAGGGAGAGGGAGAGGGAGAGAGAGAGAGAGAGAGAAAGUGACCACAUUGUAGUGCUUGACCACACCUUGAGGAAUGUUCUUUAAUGUUGGUAAAUAACCCACCGAGCAGGCAGCAACCCCGUGGUUACAACACAUGGUACAGCCCUGUCCUCACAACACAUAGUACAUCCCUUUAUAGAAGAAGAACCCGACAUGGUGAUGAUGGGGCGUUGCACGCCCUGCAUCUCGCAGGUGGGAGUGGUUGGUAGGUUGGUGGGGUGGGUGGGUGAGUGUGUGAGUGUCGGUAGGGUGGGUGGGGUAGGUGGGGUGGGUGGGGUUGGGUGUCAGAUGGAGUGGGGUCAGGGUAUUGGGGCGGGGAGUAUUUUUGGGGCAUAAGUAUACACUGCAUGGGGAAAAGCCAUUGACACGAUGUGUUUAUGAUUACAAUUCAAGUGCCGAGGGGAGACGGAACACGUCGAAGCUCUAGACGUCAGAGAAGCGCCGUUAUGGAGGAACAAAAGACUGCCGCUUGAACUCCACUACACAGAAAGAAUAGAAACCAACCUAAACACCGAUUAAAAACGGCAUCAUUUCUUUGUACCAAAGCCUACCACUCAACCCUCGCCAACAGCGAGGUGUCAACAAAUAAAGCGUAGUGUGUGUCCAACAUGAGCGACCUGGAAAUGGUCCUCAACACAGCCCGGCUACAUGUUCAGCGUGCGUUAAAAGGCGGGUGAAUAAAUAGACGACAGAACCACGAUGAUGCGUGAAAAGGCCAACGUAUGUCUAAAGGGCGACCCCAGACACUGAAAAACAACGUUCUGAGCAGCAGGUUCGAAGACCCCCAGCGAGGCAAAAGUGGUAAUGCCAGCCGAGUGGAAGGUCCGGGGGCUCCCUCUCUCCCGGGUACGGUGGUGGUGUUAGCGCUGUAGAACCAGCAAAACGCCUCGAUAACGGACGUCGACAGCUCCCAGAAACUCAGACAGACAGGGUCACGCGGAGCCACUCUCUCCCUCUCAAUCCUUCUCGGCAGGAGGUGGAAUAUUCAACCCCGUGAGUCCGAGAGAGGGGGGAGAUGGGGAGAUGAGGGGGUAAAGAUGGCUGCAGCACUGCAUCUGACCGGCCCGACCGUGAAGAUGAUGCCAAAACCAACACGUACUCCAUGUACAAAAAGUAAUGUCCACACAUGAAGAAACAAAUGCGUUAAAGAAACAAAUGCCACAUGCUUGAUUUGCGGUCGCGGUAGAAAAAAACGAGUCGUCUCGACACGGACAUCGAGGAGACGGUGAAUCGCAAUUUAAAUGGCAUUCCCUUUCAUGAGCACCGACCCCUUGACGAAACACACACGCACGCACACAAGCGACCACACACACACACACACACGCACGCACGCACAACUACGUCAUCCGUCACUGUCUUUAACACCUAUGGGAUUGCCGCGCGGUCCGUACGUGCAGACCCCUGGAGGGCGAGUGCCAGACCCAGGGCGGUGGUCCACUGAGCCGGGGGGCUACGGCCAUCCAGGGAAGAAGCAGAGUAGAGAGGGAGGGUCAGCAGGAGGAGGAGGAGUAAGGGGGCCAGCGCCCGGGCCCCUGGCCUUGCUAUUUGGCGCUCUUCUUUGGCACGGUGCCCCUCUUGGCCUGCCACAGGUGGUUGUGGAUGGUGAGGGCGUCCACGCUCACCGACACCGUCUUGGCGGGGAUGGCGGUGAACUGCUUGCGGUCCGAGCUGUACUUGUACAUCUUGUCGAUCAUCUUCUUGGUGAUGCUCUUGGGCCCCGAGCCCGUCAGCUUGUGCAUCUCCUCCGUGUCGGGGACGAAGGUGUAGAGCGAGCGGAACUGGCAGCCGCCGUCCCGGAACAGGAUCAACAGGUGGUUGGAGUCGCUGCGCUCCAGCUCCU